rnacentral:lncRNA from 1 species
GCAGCAUCCAGCAGAUGGCGACAAAUCCCCAAAUAUCUACGCCUGUGUUUGGAAGUGUAUCAUUCAUCACUCUUCACAGUAUAUAGACUUCAAUAGACACAUUUGUGUAGUAUGCAUGAAAUAUCCUAUCAGGAAUCCAGUACAUGUAAUCAUUUUCACCUAUAGCGACUACCCAAAACACCCUAGCAACCAGGGCAAAUAGCAUUACAGACAUGCAGCUGCAGGUCAAUCUGUGGAUCUAACGGUGAGUGGACGAAAAGCAGGACAUCCCCUCGACUCACGCUGACCUUUGACCCUGCUGUGAUUAGGCUAAUACUGCUGAUAGUGGUCAACUCUCACUCAUUGAGAGCAUUCCUGCAGAUAAGAGCCCUGGCGCUCUUUGAACUUCCACUGAGCAGAACAGAGUUCAAACACACACACAGCCGUUGCAGCAGGCAAAAAUUUGACAUCAUCGUGACAGAUACAGGCAUGUACCUGUACAAAACAUUGCGUAACUAAGUAAGUAAGGUUAACGUUUGUAAAACCGUAAAACCCUCGUAGUAAAGGGUAAGAGCCGAGUGGUUUCUGAUUCACUGACAUACCUUAUUAUUGGUUGUGUUAGUGUAGAAAUAUUCAAUCGUGUAAUACUGUAAAUCAAAAGAAAAUUCUGAAACAUAUAAAAAUGUUAAAUAUAAAGAAUGUGUUGUGAAAAGCACUAUACAAUUUUAAAAAUAAUUAAAAUAAAAUUGUAUUAAAAACGCCUUUUAAAACAAUUGAAAUUUUUUUAAUUGUGACAUUAUUUCCGUGACACAUUUUAAUAAAAUUUUUACAUAUAUAAAACAUUUAAUUAAAUUAAAUAUAUUUAAAUUCUAUAAAAUAUUAAAACAAAUUGGUGGGAAAUGUGCUUU